AACGAACGCUGGCGGCAUGCCUAACACAUGCAAGUCGAGCGGAGCGGCGGACGGGUGCGUAAUGCCUAGGAAUCUGCCUGGUAGUGGGGGAUAACGUCCGAAAACGGGCGCCAAUACCGCAUACUUGCACAUGAGCCUAGGUCGGAUGAGCUAGUUGGUGGGGUAAAGGCCUACCAAGGCGGCGAUCCGUAACGGGCCUGAGGGGAUGAUCAGUCACACUGGAACUGAGAAACGGUCCAGACUCCUCCGGGAGGCAGCAGUGGGGAAUAUUGGACAAUGGGCGAAAGCCUGAUCCAGCCAUGCCGCGUGUGUGAAGAAGGUCUUCGGAUUGUAAAGCACUUUAAGUUGGGAGGCGUUACCAACAGAAUAAGCACCGGCUAACUUCGUACCAGCAGCCGCGGUAAUUC
rnacentral:rRNA from 1 species